rnacentral:lncRNA from 1 species
GUGCCAAUGAGACAACUCUCUAUCCAAAUAACAAUAUGAAUGACUUGCAGAAUUUUUCUGAACACCAUGAUUACCAUGUUAAAGAUAUGAGAAAGAUACCAAAGGGAUGUGCAAACACAUUAGUCGAAAACAUACUGAUAAUGUCUUAGCAAAAAAAACGAAGGAAAGACAAAACACAACAUUAGAAAAAAGUUAAAUAAAAAAAAUACCGAACUCCAAGACAAAUUCCCUGAAGUGGAAGUAGUUGAGAGAAGCAGACCAAUUUAUGAGAAUAAAAUCUCCUGCACAGUAAGAAUUUGCGAGUUGACAUGAAUUAUCAUUGCUAUGGUAAUGAUUAAAAUUUAACUCUUAACAAAAACGUUAGAAUUUUUUAAAUACUUUUAAUUUUCUACCCCAG